GAUGAACGCUGGCGGCGUGCUUAACACAUGCAAGUCGAACGGGAAUUAUUUUAUUGAAACUUCGGUCGAUUUAAUUUAAUUCUAGUGGCGGACGGGUGAGUAACGCGUGGGUAACCUGCCUUAUACAGGGGGAUAACAGUCAGAAAUGGCUGCUAAUACCGCAUAAGCGCACAGAGCUGCAUGGCUCAGUGUGAAAAACUCCGGUGGUAUAAGAUGGACCCGCGUUGGAUUAGCUUGUUGGCAGGGUAACGGCCUACCAAGGCGACGAUCCAUAGCCGGCCUGAGAGGGUGAACGGCCACAUUGGGACUGAGACACGGCCCAGACUCCUACGGGAGGAAGCAGUGGGGAAUAUUGCACAAUGGGGGAAACCCUGAUGCAGCGACGCCGCGUGAAGGAAGAAGUAUCUCGGUAUGUAAACUUCUAUCAGCAGGGAAGAUAGUGACGGUACCUGACUAAGAAGCCCCGGCUAACUACGUG
rnacentral:rRNA from 1 species